rnacentral:rRNA from 1 species
CAGAGACUGCAAGCGUUAUUCGGAUUCACUGGGCGUAAAGGGUGCGCAGGCGGCCAAGUGUGUGAGGCGUGAAAGCCCGGGGCUUAACCCCGGAAUUGCACCUCAAACUACAUGGCUAGAGCAUUGGAGAGGGUAGCGGAAUUCACGGUGUAGCAGUGAAAUGCGUAGAUAUCGUGAGGAACACCAGAGGCGAAGGCGGCUACCCUGGACAACUGCUGACGCUCAGGCACGAAAGCGUGGGGAGCAAAAGGGAUUAGAUACCCCUGUAGUCCACGCCCUAAACGGUGCACACUAGGUCUUGGCGGAUUCGACCCCACCAGGGCCCAAGCUAACGCGUUAAGUGUGCCGCCUGAGGACUACGGCCGCAAGGCUA